UAGAGUGAUCCUGGCUCAGGAUGAACGCUGGCGGCGUGCUUAACACAUGCAAGUCGAACGAUGAAGCCCAGCUUGCUGGGUGGAUUAGUGGCGAACGGGUGAGUAACACGUGAGUAACCUGCCCUUAACUCUGGGAUAAGCCUGGGAAACUGGGUCUAAUACCGGAUAGGAGCGUCCACCGCAUGGUGGGUGUUGGAAAGAUUUAUCGGUUUUGGAUGGACUCGCGGCCUAUCAGCUUGUUGGUGAGGUAAUGGCUCACCAAGGCGACGACGGGUAGCCGGCCUGAGAGGGUGACCGGCCACACUGGGACUGAGACACGGCCCAGACUCCUACGGGAGGCAGCAGUGGGGAAUAUUGCACAAUGGGCGCAAGCCUGAUGCAGCGACGCCGCGUGAGGGAUGACGGCCUUCGGGUUGUAAACCUCUUUCAGUAGGGAAGAAGCGAAAGUGACGGUACCUGCAGAAGAAGCACCGGCUAACUACGUGCCAGCAGCCGCGGUAAUACGUAGGGUGCGAGCGUUAUCCGGAAUUAUUGGGCGUAAAGAGCUCGUAGGCGGUUUGUCGCGUCUGUCGUGAAAGUCCGGGGCUUAACCCCGGAUCUGCGGUGGGUACGGGCAGACUAGAGUGCAGUAGGGGAGACUGGAAUUCCUGGUGUAGCGGUGGAAUGCGCAGAUAUCAGGAGGAACACCGAUGGCGAAGGCAGGUCUCUGGGCUGUAACGAGAGGGAAAGC
rnacentral:rRNA from 1 species